CAGCCGCCACGGGAAUACAGAGGGUGCGAGCGUUAAUCGGAUUUACUGGGCGUAAAGCGUGCGUAGGCGGCUUCUUAAGUCGGAUGUGAAAUCCCUGAGCUUAACUUAGGAAUUGCAUUCGAUACUGGGAAGCUAGAGUAUGGGAGAGGAUGGUAGAAUUCCAGGUGUAGCGGUGAAAUGCGUAGAGAUCUGGAGGAAUACCGAUGGCGAAGGCAGCCAUCUGGCCUAAUACUGACGCUUAGGUACGAAAGCAUGGGGAGCAAACAGGAUUAGAUACCCCAGUAGUCCCUGUCUCUUAUAC
rnacentral:rRNA from 1 species